rnacentral:rRNA from 1 species
GAUGAACGCUGGCGGCGUGCCUAACACAUGCAAGUCGAACGGUGAAGCGCCUUCCUUUUUGGUGUGUGUGGAUGAGCGGCGAACGGGUGAGUAACACGUUAGUAACCUGCCCCGUUUUUCUUGAUUACCGCAUGAAAGAGUGGCUAAUAGGGGAUAUUUUGAGUCUGUCGCAUCAUGGGUCUGGGAAAGAUAUUGUUUCGCUGGGGGAUGGGCUCGCGGUGUAUUAGCUAGUUGGUGGGGUGACGGCGUACCAAGGCGGCGAUGGGUAGCCGGCCUGUGAGGAUGAUCGGCCACCACGGUACUGCGACACCGCGGAGACGACUACGGGAGGAAGCAGCAGGGAAGAUUGUUGAACGGGCGAAAGCAGGCUGCAGCAACGCCGCGGGGGUGAAGAAGGUGUUCUGAUGGUAGAGAACCUCUAUCGGGGAUGAAGCAGGGCGGACUCAUUUGUGGGUGGUUUGACGGUACCUGGAUAAGAAGCGCCGGCUAACUACGUG